rnacentral:rRNA from 1 species
UCCGGUUGAUCCUGCCAGAGGUUACUGCUAUCGAGGUUCGACUAAGCCAUGCGAGUCGAAUGUAGCAAUACAUGGCGAACUGCUCAGUAACACGUGGACAACCUGCCCUUAGGUUGGGUAUAAACCCGGGAAACUGGGUAUAAUACCCGAUAGGUCUCGAUUGCUGGAAUGCAUCGAGAUUUAAAGCUCCGGCGCCUAAGGAUGGGUCUGCGGCCUAUCAGGUAGUAGUGGGUGUAGCGUACCUACUAGCCUACGACGGGUACGGGUUGUGAGAGCAAGAGCCCGGAGAUGGAUUCUGAGACACGAAUCCAGGCCCUACGGGGUGCAGCAGGCGCGAAAACUUUACAAUGCUGGCAACAGCGAUAAGGGAACCUCGAGUGCCAGGUUACAAAUCUGGCUGUCGAGAUGCCUAAAAAGCAUUUCAUAGCAAGGGCCGGGCAAGACCGGUGCCAGCCGCCGCGGUAACACCGGCGGCUCGAGUGGUAACCGUUAUUAUUGGGUCUAAAGGGUCUGUAGCCGGCCGGAUAAGUCUCUUGAGAAAUCUGGCAGCUUAACUGUCAGGCUUUCAGGAGAUACUGUCUGGCUCGAGGCCGGGAGAGGUGAGAGGUACUUCAGGGGUAGGGGUGAAAUCUUGUAAUCCUUGAAGGACCACCAGUGGCGAAGGCGUCUCACCAGAACGGACCUGACGGCAAGGGACGAAAGCUAGGGGCACGAACCGGAUUAGAUACCCGGGUAGUCCUAGCCGUAAACGAUACUCGCUAGGUGUCGGCCACGGUGCGACCGUUGUCGGUGCCGUAGGGAAGCCGUGAAGCGAGCCACCUGGGAAGUACGGCCGCAAGGCUGAAACUUAAAGGAAUUGGCGGGGGAGCAC